UAUUAGACUAAGAAUUUAAAGCAAAUACAAGCUUCUUAACUAAGCAAAUAUAUCAAAUAUAAACAAAUGGAGUAAAGAGAAGCUCUCAAACGAAUUUUGAAGAUGAAGGAACUCGGCUUCUUCUUUACUUGACCCUCUUCUGAUUUGGCACGAGGUAGAGGAUGAUUGAGGCAGCACACGGAUGGAGAGGAAGCUUUGGGAUUCACUUGGAUGCUCUUCUUC
rnacentral:lncRNA from 1 species